GACGAACGCUGGCCUUGUAAUUAACACAUGCAAGUCGAGCGGAAAGGCCCUGCUUUUGUGGGGUGCUCGAGUGGCGAACGGGUGAGUAACUUGUGAGUAACCUGCCCUUGACUUUGGGAUAACUUCAGGAAACUGGGGCUAAUACCGGAUAGGAGCUCCUGCUGCAUGGUGGGGGUUGGAAAGUUUCGGCGGUUGGGGAUGGACUCGCGGCUUAUCAGCUUGUUGGUGGGGUAGUGGCUUACCAAGGCUUUGACGGGUAGCCGGCCUGAGAGGGUGACCGGCCACAUUGGGACUGAGAUACGGCCCAGACUCCUACGGGAGGCAGCAGUGGGGAAUAUUGCACAAUGGGCGGAAGCCUGAUGCAGCAACGCCGCGUGCGGGAUGACGGCCUUCGGGUUGUAAACCGCUUUCGCCUGUGACGAAGCGUGAGUGACGGUAAUGGGUAAAGAAGCACCGGCUAACUACGUGCCAGCAGCCGCGGUGAUACGUAGGGUGCGAGCGUUGUCCGGAUUUAUUGGGCGUAAAAGGCUCGUAGGUGGUUGAUCGCGUCGGAAGUGUAAUCUUGGGGCUUAACCCUGAGCGUGCUUUCGAUACGGGUUGACUUGAGGAAGGUAGGGGAGAAUGGAAUUCCUGGUGGAGCGGUGGAAUGCGCAGAUAUCAGGAGGAACACCAGUGGCGAAGGCGGUUCUCUGGGCCUUUCCUGACGCUGAGGAGCGAAAGCGUGGGGAGCGAACAGGCUUAGAUACCCUGGUAGUCCACGCUGUAAACGGUGGGUACUAGGUGUGGGGUCCAUUCCACGGGUUCCGUGCCGUAGCUAACGCUUUAAGUACCCCGCCUGGGGAGUACGGCCGCAAGGCUAAAACUCAAAGGAAUUGACGGGGCCCCGCACAAGCGGCGGAGCAUGCGGAUUAAUUCGAUGCAACGCGUAGAACCUUACCUGGGUUUGACAUGGAUCGGGAGCGCUCAGAGAUGGGUGUGCCUCUUUUGGGGUCGGUUCACAGGUGGUGCAUGGCUGUCGUCAGCUCGUGUCGUGAGAUGUUGGGUUAAGUCCCGCAACGAGCGCAACCCUUGUUCACUGUUGCCAGCACGUUAUGGUGGGGACUCAGUGGAGACCGCCGGGGUCAACUCGGAGGAAGGUGGGGAUGACGUCAAGUCAUCAUGCCCCUUAUGUCCAGGGCUUCACGCAUGCUACAAUGGCUGGUACAGAGAGUGGCGAGCCUGUGAGGGUGAGCGAAUCUCGGAAAGCCGGUCUCAGUUCGGAUUGGGGUCUGAAACUCGACCUCAUGAAGUCGGAGUCGCUAGUAAUCGCAGAUCAGCAACGCUGCGGUGAAUACGUUCCCGGGGGCU
rnacentral:rRNA from 1 species